rnacentral:rRNA from 1 species
ACAUCCAGAGAACUUAGCAGAGAUGCUUUGGUGCCUUCGGGAACUCUGAGACAGGUGCUGCAUGGCUGUCGUCAGCUCGUGUUGUGAAAUGUUGGGUUAAGUCCCGNAACGAGCGCAACCCUUUAUCCUUUGUUGCCAGCGAUUCGGUCGGGAACUCAAAGGAGACUGCCGGUGAUAAACCGGAGGAAGGUGGGGAUGACGUCAAGUCAUCAUGGCCCUUACGGCCAGGGCUACACACGUGCUACAAUGGCGCAUACAAAGAGAAGCGACCUCGCGAGAGCAAGCGGACCUCAUAAAGUGCGUCGUAGUCCGGAUUGGAGUCUGCAACUCGACUCCAUGAAGUCGGAAUCGCUAGUAAUCGUAGAUCAGAAUGCUACGGUGAAUACGUUCCCGGGCCUUGUACACACCGCCCGUCACACCAUGGGAGUGGGUUGCAAAAGAAGUAGGUAGCUUAACCUUCGGGAGGGCGCUUACCACUUUGUGAUUCAUGACUGGGGUGAAGUCGUAACAAGGUAGGCGUAGACGU